UACGAAGGGGGCUAGCGUUGCUCGGAAUCACUGGGCGUAAAGGGUGCGUAGGCGGGUCUUUAAGUCAGGGGUGAAAUCCUGGAGCUCAACUCCAGAACUGCCUUUGAUACUGAGGAUCUUGAGUCCGGGAGAGGUGAGUGGAACUGCGAGUGUAGAGGUGAAAUUCGUAGAUAUUCGCAAGAACACCAGUGGCGAAGGGCGGCUCACUGGCCCGGUACUGACGCUGAGGCACGAAAGCGUGGG
rnacentral:rRNA from 1 species